rnacentral:rRNA from 1 species
UACGAAGGGGGCUAGCGUUGUUCGGAAUUACUGGGCGUAAAGCGCGCGCAGGCGGUUCGAUAAGUUGGGGGUGAAAUCCCCGGGCUCAACCCGGGAAUUGCCUUCAAGACUGUCGAGCUAGAGGACGAGAGAGGUGAGUGGAAUUCCCAGUGUAGAGGUGAAAUUCGUAGAUAUUGGGAAGAACACCGGUGGCGAAGGCGGCUCACUGGCUCGUUUCUGACGCUGAGGCGCGAAAGCGUGGGGAGCAAACAGG